ensembl:lncRNA
AAAGUCCUGCCUCUCCCAUCUCCUCAUUGGUUUAUAGAAGCACAUUGGUUACACCCACAUCGGUGACUGAAAGAUUAACCAUCUUGCCGGUAGUCGUGGUAAUACAAUGAACGUUUAGAUGCGAACACCAUAUAAAUUAAACUAGAAACGAUUCGGUUGGCCGUUUUAUGUGUGGAUUAAUUGUUGGAGUAGAGGUCCUUGUGCAUUUCAGAACUACCCACCUAAAAAGGACCAAGCAGCGUGGUCAAGAGGAGCAGAGAUCCUGGGCCUGGGAGGAGGUCAUGGCAGGGGACAAGAUCCUGCCAUGGAAACAGGUGGAAACAGCGAAAGAGGAACGGCAACGAUACGAGGGGACACAGCUAGCACGGAAACCCGAGAGGCAGCUCCAAAAAGAUUUUUUGGGGGGGCACACGAGGAGAGUGACAGAGUCAGUGUGGCUGGUCAGGCACCGUGUGCGCACAGUGUCUCCAGUGCCCAUUCAUAGCCCGGUGCUCUCUAUUCCAGCUCCCCGCAUUGGCCGGGCUAGAAUGGGCAUCCAGCCAGGACGGAUGGUGCCGGCUCAACGCUCCUGGUCUCCUUGGACCAGGAUAUCCUGCGCCAGCUCUGCGCACUGUGUCUCCGGUGCGUCUGCACAGCCCAGUGCGACUGGUGCCAGAGCCCCACAUUUGCAGGGCAAAAAUAAACAUCCAGCCAGGAUGGGUUGUGCCAGCUCUACCCUUUAGACCUCCAGUGUGCCUCAACAGUCCAGUACGUCCUGUGCCUCCUCCCCGCACUCGCCCUGAGGUGAGUGUCAUCAUCCAGGUGCCACCUGUACCGGUCCCACGCAUCAGGCCUCCAGUGCGCCUCCACAGGACUGUGCGCCUCCACAGUCCAGGGGAUCAUAUAUAAGUUGUCCUUUUUUGUUUGGGUUUUGUGGGUAGUUGUUUUCUGUUUAGUGUCUGCACCUGACAGGACUGUUUCGGUUUUCCCUCCAUGUUAUUUUGUUCGUGUGUUUUGAGUAUUAAAUUUAUCAUGAACACUUA